AGUCACCUAGUCAGUCUGCAGCGGACCUGAUCGAAGCGAAGAGCCUAGUACUUGUUCACACUCCACAUAGACAUGAUGAUGAUGAAGAUGUGUGUCGCCUACUUUGGAGUUAUCCUGCUGGCUCUCCAUGUUUCAUCACAGACUACACCUGCCAUGAACGAGACCACAAACGGAACUACGACCGAUAGCACCACCGUAACGCCAACCAGCUCAGUGAACAUGACGACCCCAAAGAAGAACGGGUGCGGGAGGACCGACGCCUUUACGCUGCUGCUGCCACUGGCACUAACGGCCCCUCUCCUCCACAGUUGGUCCUAAUGAACCGGACUGAUGGCUCCUCUGCACUUGACACACGCACCGCCACGCUCCGGCAGGAUUGAUAAGGCCGUUACCGUUACUCCAAGAGCAGUCUAUCUUUUUUUCUUUUUCUUUUUUUAAAAAUCCACCCCUCUCACUCACUCUUUUGGAUUUCACCGUUAAAAUUGUCUUCACUGGGAUUUCAUUCUAAAAGGAGUGCGCACUGUAGCCCAGCGCGCGCCGGUUUCAGCCUUUUACGCGCCCUGCUGUUCCUGUCAUUAUGGCCUGCUGUGCUUGCAGGAGGCCUGUAUGGACUGAACUCUUUGAAAUUCCCCUUCUCCAGGGACAAUUCGGUUCCUUGGUGGCUGCAGUUUCAUAGCGGGUGGACGAGUUUUUGUGGCUCGUAAUGUUAUACCAACUGCGUUAUGUGAAGCAAAAAUACUUUAUCAGGCUUCACAGGUCUGAAAUUUUGUCUAAAGAAAAAGGUUUUGUAUCAUUAUGAAAAACGUGUGAUUUAAUGUAAGUUUUAGCUCGUGUUUUUUGUAUGUAAUAAAGAUUUGAACUGUAAAUGUUCAA